rnacentral:rRNA from 1 species
UACGUAGGGGGCAAGCGUUAUCCGGAUUUACUGGGUGUAAAGGGAGCGUAGACGGCGAGGCAAGUCUGGAGUGAAAGCCCGGGGCUCAACCCCGGGACUGCUUUGGAAACUGCCUGGCUGGAGUGCUGGAGAGGCAAGCGGAAUUCCUAGUGUAGCGGUGAAAUGCGUAGAGAUAUGGAGGAACACCAGUGGCGAAGGCGGCUUCCUGGUCUGCAACUGACACUGAGGCGCGAAAGCGUGGGGAGCAAACAGG